AAUUUUCAACAGAAAUUAAUUCUGUUACAUUCCUACAGAUGACAGGAUAAAUCAAUGUGCAAUGGAUACCACCUCUAUUCACAGUACAAGUCAGACUAAGCAAUACUUGAAGAUUCUUCAAACUAUACUGGAUGUAUAAGCUAUUGUUAUGCCAUUACAUAUAGCAUCAAAAUUGUAUCUUAAAGCACAGUAUUAGUGCUAGAGUUUUACACAUUUUGAGGCUCCUUGGAUAAGAGACUGGCCCAUCAAAAGGCCUCUACUUACAAAGGACAACAAACACAAAAAUGCAGGAUUUAAACCUCCAGUCCAAAUAAUCAGAUUGUAACCAUUUCUGCAGCAAACAGCUUUGACAAGUUAUGGAUUAGUUAAGGAAAACAAGAAACUCACCUUCAGGUAGGGUGAAGAAGAUAGUAUGGUGUCAUCCAGAGCUUUACGAAACCUAUUUGAG